rnacentral:rRNA from 1 species
CAGGCCUAACACAUGCAAGUCGAGGGGUAACGAUGUCUUCGGACAGGCGACGACCGGCGCACGGGUGAGUAUCGCGUUUGUAACCUACCUUUAACUGGAGAAUAGCCCGAAGAAAUUCGGAUUAAUACUCCAUAAUACUAUGAUCUGGCAUCUUUUUAUAGUUAAAGCUCCGGCGGUUAAAGAUGGACAUGCGUAACAUUAGUUUGUUGGUGAGGUAACGGCUCACCAAGACUACGAUGUUUAGGGGGUCUGAGAGGAUGGUCCCCCACACUGGUACUGAGACACGGACCAGACUCCUACGGGAGGCAGCAGUGAGGAAUAUUGGUCAAUGGGCGAAAGCCUGAACCAGCCAUGCCGCGUGAAGGAUGACAGCGCUAUGCGUUGUAAACUUCUUUUGUACAGGAAGAAACACUUCUACGUGUAGAAGCUUGACGGUACUGUACGAAUAAGCAUCGGCUAACUCCGUGCCAGCAGCCGCGGUAAUACGGAGGAUGCAAGCGUUAUCCGGAUUUAUUGGGUUUAAAGGGUACGUAGGCGGAAAAUUAAGUCAGUAGUGAAAUCCCGCAGCUUAACUGUGGAACUGUUAUUGAUACUGGUUUUCUUGAAUUUAGUUGAGGUAGGCGGAAUGUGUAAUGUAGCGGUGAAAUGCUUAGAUAUUACACAGAACACCGAUUGCGAAGGCAGCUUACUAAGCUAUGAUUGACGCUGAGGUACGAAAGCGUGGGGAGCGAACAGGGUUAGAUACCCUGGUAGUCCACGCCGUAAACGAUGAUCACUCGUUGUUGGCAAUAAACAGUCAGCGACUGAGCGAAAGCAUUAAGUGAUCCACCUGGGGAGUACGCUCGCAAGAGUGAAACUCAAAGGAAUUGACGGGGGCCCGCACAAGCGGAGGAACAUGUGGUUUAAUUCGAUGAUAC